AAACCCCUCAAGCUCAGCUUGGUGUUGGGGCCUGCUAUACUAGCAGCCCUUAAAAUCAGUGGCGGUGCCAUCUGGCUCUAAGCGUAGUAAUUUUUCUCGCUAUAGGGUUCUGAUGGAUGCUUGCCAUCAACCCCCAAUUUUCUAU
rnacentral:misc_RNA from 1 species